rnacentral:rRNA from 1 species
GUACACUCCUGCGGGAGGCAGCAGUGGGGAAUUUUGGACAAUGGGCGAAAGCCUGAUCCAGCAAUGCCGCGUGAGUGAAGAAGGCCUUCGGGUUGUAAAGCUCUUUUGUCAGGGAAGAAACGGUGAGAGCUAAUAUCUUUUGCUAAUGACGGUACCUGAAGAAUAAGCACCGGCUAACUACGUGCCAGCAGCCGCGGUAAUACGUAGGGUGCAAGCGUUAAUCGGAAUUACUGGGCGUAAAGCGUGCGCAGGCGGUUUUGUAAGUCUGAUGUGAAAUCCCCGGGCUCAACCUGGGAAUUGCAUUGGAGACUGCAAGGCUAGAAUCUGGCAGAGGGGGGUAGAAUUCCACGUGUAGCAGUGAAAUGCGUAGAUAUGUGGAGGAACACCGAUGGCGAAGGCAGCCCCCUGGGUCAAGAUUGACGCUCAUGCACGAAAGCGUGGGGAGCAAACAGGAUUAGAAACCCUGGUAGUCCCA